CAAUGAGGUAGAGGUCGCGAGAAUCAUUAACCCUGUGGAGUGAAGCAAACACCGUGAAGCAGGACUAGGGAAGAUCGCCGAAAUGUACUCUUCUUUGCUUGAAGUUUACGUUGGGACACAAGUUAAGAGCUUGUGGACUGUCUUAGCAGUGAUGCUAAGUUGCGCUAUGUUUUGU
rfam:Enterococcus hirae ATCC 9790, complete genome.